CCGAGUGUCGAUUGUAUCAAUCAACCUCCACCCUUUGUUAUUCUAUCAAUUUGCUUCGGCGGGCCUUGAACUUGUUCAACAUCGGUCUGUGCGGAUGAGAGCCCGCCGAAGACACAAACUCUUGAAUUUGCUGUCUGAGUUACAAACAAAAUAA
rnacentral:misc_RNA from 1 species